UACGUAGGCAGCGAGCGUUGUUCGGAGUUACUGGGCGUAAAGAGUGCGUAGGCGGUUUUCUAAGUUUGGUGUGAAAUCUCCCGGCUUAACUGGGAGGGUGCGCCGAAGACUGGAAGGCUAGAGUAUGGGAGAGGUAAGCGGAAUUCCCGGUGUAGCGGUGAAAUGCGUAGAUAUCAGGAGGAACACCUGCGGUGUAGACGGCUUACUGGACCAUAACUGACGCUGAGGCACGAAAGCGUGGGUAGCAAACAGG
rnacentral:rRNA from 1 species